AAAUAAAAAAAACGUACAUAUAAAAAUACCAAGAAUGAAAUAUAAAAAUUUACCAAGUUGCCUAAACUUGGUAUGGAGAAGUUGCACGAAUAAAGAAAUUAACACUACUGAACAGACUGGAUAAAUAUUGAACUGAACUUAGUAUGGUAAGGAUGAUGAUGGUUACGCUACCUCCCCUCGUAUAUAGAAUAAGAUAACUGGACUCGGUUGAAUUCUGCAUAGCUAUGUACUAAAUUCACCGUUUUUAAUUGUUGGCUAAUUUUUUCAUUGUGGACCAAAUUCAAAGUUAAAUCCAUUUGAUGCUCAAAACCGAUGACAAAAUUCCAAGUGCGAUUCAUUCUCAAUUCUUGCGAACUAAAUUCCGGUAAUGACUGGUUUAAUGUGCCAA